UCCAGAUGCAAAUCCGUAAGCACACCCAGAAAACUAUCCUCUCCUCCUUCCGUACUCAUCUCUCUCUACUUUCUCCGCCCCCAGAAGCAACUCAGACCCCCUCCCCUCCCCCCAAUUUCCCUUCUCUUCCCCGGCGACGUCCCCAAGCCCACCAACUCCGGCCAGAUCGACGGCCCCCUCGAGCUCCUCCACCCCUCCCGGUGCCCCCGCCCCCUCCCGGUGCCCCCGUACAGUUGCCCGCUCCGAACCCUAGCCAUUUCGCACCGCGAGCUUUGGAGACGUUUUUCAGAAAAGCCUCAAAUUGGAAGAGAUUCUGAGGCGAUUCUCCUAAUUGAUUGAGGGGUUUCUCAAAAAUCGCCUCCAAAUCAAUGGAUGUUUUGAGGCGAACCUCACCGCCUCUGGCAUGCAGGAAAAACAGGGAGAGUCCCAGUCGCUACAUCACAGAAGGGAGAGAAAUCUCCACGUCUGAAAUCGCCCAGAUUGGCCAAAAGCCAGACAAGGCGAACAUCAAAGCAUCCGGACCUGAAACUGAACAAGAAUAUCAUUGCCAUUCGUCCUGUUCUCCAUCAUGAAGAUUGGAGUCAUUGGACCUACAGAGUCAUUUUCAAGGGUUGAUGAAGCAGAGUGCUGCAAGAAAAAAACCAUAUGCCACAACUUUAUAACAUCAUCCUGAUACAUAUCAACAUAUUAGAAGUCUUUUUCGGAUUUUCAGAACUUCAGCAAGGUGCACUCUUCAGCUGUUUCAAUCUAAAGUGUUUGCAGAACAACUGUGUAGCGACAAGACCUCAAACAGUCUGAUCUCUGUGCUCCGGUGUCAUCUCUGGAUCAGUAAUGCUGACACCACACAGUACUCGGAGGAUUUAUAACAGAGUUGCAAUCACACACUUAUUAUAUCGAGUGUCUCAAGAGAGAACUUAUUACAAUAAAUAUGGCUU